CACACACAAAGAUCAGAGGAGGGAAAGGAAGUCCCCGGACUGAAGUUGGACCCGUGGGUGACCCAGGAUGGUUGUGACCCCUUACCUCUAGAGGAGGAACACUGUACCGUGGUGGAAGUCACCGAGGAGGAAGUGCAGAACUCUGUCAAGUUUGUCCCCAGCCUGUCUGCCGUGAUCCUGGUGAAAGCCAUGCUGAGGAAGAGGUCGUUCGGUAACCCCUUUGAGUGUCCCAGAAGUAGAGAGGAGAGGUCCAUGUCUGCACCUGGCAACCUGUUAAUGAAGGGCAGCAGUGGAGAGGGCAGUAGGGAAGGAGAGCUAGAAGACCUGAAUGAAGAUGAACCCUCUUCUCCAGUCAGCACAGCCCAGCUUAGCUCCACACAGGCGUCUGAGCCACCUCCUCCCCCUUUAAGAACUAUAUGCCCUUCCCCUUUAAACCCCCAUCUGUACAUUGCCUCUCUCCCAUUAAAUAUAUAAUGCACUCCACUCUUAUGUUCCUGUCCCUCCUCUUCAUCCUUCCCUGAUCUCACCUCACUCCGUCAUUGUGUGUAAUUACCCAAAGAAACACAGAGAACUCCGACAGCAGGAGACCGUACUCAUGGGUUGUUCACCGGUAAACUUAAGACUACUGGAAUCUCUACUGUCUGUCUGUCUGUCUGUCUGUCUGGCUGGCUGGCUGGCUGUCUCUCUCUCUCUCUCUCUCUCUCUCUGGAAGGGUGUUGUCACUUUCACGGCUCUGCCAGGGACCAUUACAAUAUGGUGACUAGGAACACCACUAGCAACAACAUCUCUAUAUUCACAACAACACAAUCCCUACAUCUCUUCAGAUUUGAUGCAAUUCUAUUGUGCAAAACGCUCCAUUGAGGACUGAUAGGAGAGGGCAGCGUAUAAAUUAAGGGUCAAUAGCACUUCUGAAUUGAGCCUCUGAUUUAAGCCUCUCAGGCAGAGAUUCAAUCCGAUCGCCUCUUUUAGGCUAUGCACCUUUUUAAAGGCAAUGUUCGCGGUGACCACAUUCAUGUUAAACACUGCAUGGGGCGGCAGGGUAGCCUAGUGGUUAGAGCGUUGGACUAGUAAUCAAAAGGUUGCAAGUUCGAAUCCCCGAGCUGACAAGGUACAAAUCUGUCGUUCUGCUCCUGAACAGGCAGUUAACCCACUGUUCCUAGGCCGUCAUUGAAAAUAAGAAUUUGUUCUUAACUGACUUGCCUAGUUAAACAAAUAAAAAAUAAGUUGCACAAGUGUUGUUAUUGUUGAA